AACUAGUUCUGUGAUGUAGCCCUUAUUUAAGUAUUUUCUGAUGCAGAGUGGCUCAACCAACCAAUUCCUGAGCCACCCUCCAUCUGAAAAUACUUAAAUAAGGGAUAACUUUAAUGUAAAAGCGUUUUGCUAAAAUUGUCGAUUGUGGGUUAGGCCACUUUGCAUCUCAUAGCAUCAAUAAUGCAUUUAAUAAUGCAUUAGUAAUGCAGGCUCUUGAGAAACCGAUAUAUGUACGUAGGAAAAUAGUAAUGGUCAAAAUGCUAUGAGUCGAUUAUCAAAACUAUUUAAGAUUGCUCCUUGUCGAAGAACACCAAAAUGAGAUUAGUAGGGGAAUGGGGGGCAUGACGGGGUCUCGAGGUAAGACGGGGUACCGCACACAAACAAGAAACUACACGUUGGUGAAUAGCAUGCAGUAACUCAAUAGGAAGAGUCAUUCGAUUAACGGUCCCUGCAAGAGAAACCGUGAAUGAGAGUGCACGCGUUUUUUGUUUACAAACGGAAAACUGUUUUAGCGAUCCGUUGAUCUAAUUUUGUGCAAGGACAACCAUCGUUAUUUUAAGUUACCUUUUGAGGCAAGAUGGGGUAUUGGGUGCGGGGUAUGAUGGGACAUUGGUGAUAAUACCAUGGUACGUACUUACAAGAAAAAAAAACAAAAAGAGGAGAGUGGUCGAGAGAUGCUAUGAAAACAGCCAUAGAUAAAGUGACAUCGUCAGAACCCUGGGUAGGCUGCCAGAUCUGUGGAUGUUGAGAUCACAAUGCUUGUGCUAGGGUGGACAAUGAAGAUCUGGAGCAAAUACACAUUUUUGUUUGUUUUGUGAGAAUUAAUUAGCAUCACCAUCAUGCCCCAAUUCCAUUACCCCAUCAUACCCCAUAGUAUGGGGCAAGAUGGUUUUUCAUAAUGUUCUUAUUAAUGGCUA
rnacentral:lncRNA from 1 species